rnacentral:rRNA from 1 species
AUACGAAGGGGGUAAGCGUUGUUCGGAAUAACUGGGCGUAAAGCGCACGUAGGCGGAUUGAUCAGUUAGAGGUGAAAUCCCAGGGCUCAACCCUGGAACUGCCUUUAAUACUGUCAGUCUAGAGAUCGAGAGAGGUGAGUGGAAUUCCGAGUGUAGAGGUGAAAUUCGUAGAUAUUCGGAGGAACACCAGUGGCGAAGGCGGCUCACUGGCUCGAUACUGACGCUGAGGUGCGAAAGCGUGGGGAGCAAACAGGAUUAGAAACCCGAGUAGUCC